ACUGUCUGUCUUCAGCUGAGGCGGAAUUUACAGCAGGUGUAAGAGUGAGGCAGGGGGAUUCCUGUGAGUAAGGAAGGAACUGAGGCAGGGGGAUGACCGUGACUGCACGGACCUGAGACAACAGGAGAGAGACUUCCGGUACGCAGCAGGAAGCCCCGCCCGCUUGGCCUUGACUGAGGCAGGGGCUUGCGCUUUAUUUUUCUUUUCUCAAUAUAUAAACAAACGCAGUGAUGUAGCCGCCCCCUCCGCCUGUCAAUCACCGUCUCCGCCCACUGAGCUGUGCUCGCCAAUCAGAGAAAAACCUCGCGGGGCUCAGAGGACCCAAACCCGGGACUGGGACAGAAUUACGACUCCUAGCAUGCCUAGGGGCUACCGCCACCUCACUUCCUGUGGCAAACAGGAGAUCCCGCGCGAGGAGGGAAGUAACUACAACUCCCAGCAUGCACUAGAAUUAUUGAACCAUAACUUUCUGCGCCAGACAGGAUGUGCCUCCGGCCCGGACAGGAAGUCCGAUCGGUCUGCUGCGGCCGCAGGGGUUGAUGGGAGAUGCAGUCCAGUCAGGAAGCUUCGCCUCAUGCGUGCCCCGUCCUGCUCGCUGUUUCCGGUCGUACCGAAUGGCACCGUGACUGACGGCACGGAGAGGCUUCCAGUGGGCGGCGGGAGCCCCUCUGCGGCGGCGGCUGAGGAGCGAAGCGGGAGCGGGAAACGGAAUCACUGUCUGCAGCUGAGGCACGGGGCGGGGGAUGACAGCGGGUGUGAGAGUGAGGCAGGGGGAUUCCCGUGAAUAAAGGAGCUGAGGCAAGGCCAUGACAGCAACUGCACUGACAUGAGAUGGUAGGAAGCCCCGCCCGCUGGCCAGUGACUGACGGCACGGGUUUCCAAUCCCCGGUCAUUGAACGGCAGGGGGGGCGUGUCGAGGCGGAGAAACCGCGGAACGGAGGAAUAUUCGAGGACGGGGAAUCUGCGCAUGCACUGCUGCGCCGGCGGGCUAGAGGACCGGAAGUCCAGGCUGCGGUUCCGCUACCACGCGAAUUCUCAUGCCACCCAUACAUUCAACAUUUGGUCUCUGUCCCUAAAUCACAUAACAUACAGCAGACACAUCUGCUGUUCAAUGUUAAGCUACUUUGCAAGCAUGGUGGGUUUAUAUUUUUAAUUUUAUUAUUUUGGAUUUUGUUGUUCGAGAUAAAAAUUUCUCUGUGAAACCCUUUCUGACCUGUUAGUAGGUACAGACACAUCAGCCACCUAUCAUGUUUUUGUACGAUAAGCAUAUGCUUUUGUGCUAAGGAAGCUUCUUAAGAAUACCAUCUUGUUUAAGAUUUACAUGAGGAAAAAGGAAUUAGAUGGGAGACAUCUCUGAAGUCAGGAGAAAGAUGAAGAAACUACGAAGUCAGCAGAAGCAUCAUACAAUGUGGCACACUCAGGAGAAGUCUAAUCAAACUGUGCUGCACAAGAGGAACUCAGUGUAAAUGAAAAACAUUUCUGGCCGAGCCUCUCGUGGCCUUGGGACUGAUAACCACAGCCCCAUAUGGUAGGAAGAGUUGUGCUCUCAGAAUCUGAUUCAACCCCUCCCCCUCCAAAGGCCCUGGCCCCACACCAUUACCAGCACUCCCAAGCACAUUCCUGGUUUUAGGAAACGAGCUCUGUUUUAUCUCUACACCCAGACCUCUAGGUAAGCAUCCAAGGAGCCAGCUGAGUAAGCCCGAGGCUGUGACUGGCUUCGCCAAGCGUGUUCCUGGGUUUCAGAAGGAGCUAGGUCAUGCUCCAGACAUGGGGACCUCAGGGAAAGUGUAGCUUGACCAGGCCAGUAUGCAAUACAACAGAGAUUUCUUUCCUUUUCUUUUUUCCCUUUUUGGCAUGGUUGUCAUCUUACCCAUGUGGCAGAACUAUGCCUUUCUCAAGAAGAAAACUGAACCUUUAUGGCACACCAGGCCUUGUUGAUUGUGAUUCUAUAAUGCCCCAUUGAGCAGAUGGAUAGAGGCCUGCUCUUUGAUAAGGAGGUGGGCCUAGUGGCUGGUUGUAAAUUAAGUUUGAUUCCUUUGUUAUGGUUUGGAGCCAUAUUUCUGGGCAAUCCUGUUGAACAAGCAUGUGUAUGCUAGCAUCCUAAACUCAAACUGCACUGGUUAGCACAUUACUUAUUUGUGGGAUGUUUUACAGGCAGUGCACCCUCAGCUAAAUUCUACUUGCUGUGCCUUUCUAUCCCCUAAGCUUUCGUAAAUCCAUUACAACAUAAGUUCUACUCUUUUAAAUCACAGCUUGACAUUGGAUUGCUACCCAGCACAUGACAUGCCUUUUACAACCUCCACAAAAUUAACUCCAAAUGGAUUGUCCACCUUCAUGUGAAAUGCUAAGAUCAGAACUUGUAGAAACUAGGACUCUCCGAGUUUGGGAUCAUGCCAAGAAUUUUCUACACACAAGCCAAAUGCUCUGCACAGUUGCAGCUCCCACAGUGAAGUUAUUCAUAAGUUAAGGCUGGGUCCAGCAAGUGGCUAGGACCUCAGGGGACCUCACAUGUGGCCGCCGAUUCCCACUCAGUCCCGGGAAAGGCCCAACACAGCAGCUCGCAAUGCUCAGACCCUUCUCCCCAUUGUUGGCAGUGACCCUGUGCUCACCAUGUCGCAAUUUAGGAGCUUGCCUGAGAACCCUCCACAGCAUCCAGCCACAGGACACAGAGCAGAGCACCUGGGACCAUUCAAGUCUGCUACUAAUCGAAACCAGCGCCAAGGCACCGGGGGUGGGGGUGGGGGGGACGGAGACGGACCAGUCUUCCCUUCUGACUGGCAGGUCUGCCGAAAGGCUCUGAUUGGCCAGUGAGUCGAGCACCUCCCUAAGGGUUAGUAUCCUUACGUAGAUGCUUGCCUAGUGAACCUUUUCUCUCAUUCUUUCAGCCACAUCCUUUAAAUCUCAUCUUCUGAGAAAAGACUUAGGCAUUUGAUUCUUCUGAUGUCACGCAGGCACAGGCAGAAAGGAGGAAGGGCAGUGGUGGCUGCCAGUGGAGAACAGGCCCAUUAUUGAUGGUGGGAGUGGUGUGGGGCCUGGUCGUUUCUGUUCCUCAUGAGGAUGCUAUUUUAAAGAAAUCUGUUCCUCAUAACUGAUGCAGAAUUUCAACAUAAGACAUAGGCCAACAACCAUGUAUCAGUGACAUGUUAAGACGUAGGCAUAGGGGAGUUCACAGAUUGUGCAUGUGGUAGAAGGGACUGUUGGUGGGUAGUAGGUGUGAGAAUCGCAAUCUCUUGUUUUCACCAGGAUCUCUAUUUCUAUUUUUCUUCCACCGUACUGAAUGAUUCAUUGUCACUGUUUUGUUUCCUCUUUGUUAAAGUAUGGUUUUUUUUUUUUUUCUGUUGAACUUAUCGAAUAAUGUGCAGCAUUCCUAGAGAAGUCUAUUUUCUAGUGUUACCUUGUGUCCAGGACACCUUAAGUAGAACACAAGUGGAAGAGAGCAUUGAGAUGAUGAUGAAAGACUAACUCUAAGAAAGGUGCUAUAAUAUGUACAGUAAAUUUCCUUUAGUCAAA